rnacentral:miRNA from 1 species
AUGGCCUGGUCGGAGGAAGUGUGUCACUGGGGGUGGGCUUUGAUGUCUCAGAUGCUCAAGCCAGGCCCAGUGUCUCACUCUCUUCCUGCUUCCUGAGGAUCC